rnacentral:lncRNA from 1 species
UCAUUUAUAUAUUAAUAGAAUUUUUUCUGUCAUUUACAGCAGAAAUAACGCUACCUUUCUCCGUGUGCUCGAUGAUUUGUCUGAUGGCUUUCUUCAGGCUGUUGGCGCGAAGCAUCAGCUGCUCUCGGGGUUUGAAGAUAGCGGCGGGCGGUCGAGGCGAGCAAGGGGGCAGGGCAGUGGGUGGGGCCGUGGGCGGAGCCAGAACCACACCCUCCCCAUCCACCUGCUCCUCAGCGAUGGUGGGUGGAGGCGCAGACAUCACACUGCUAGCCUGGGCUUCAUCGUUAAGCGUUUUCAAUAACGAGUCCAACUUUUCUUUUAGCACACCACACUGCACACGAAAACAUCCCGAGUCAUUCAUCACCCAAUCACAGAACACUCCAGAACAGCCAAUCACAAAACAGCGAGUCAUCCGAUAGCCAAUCACAGCUGACCUUUUUAGCCAUGGCCUCUGAUUCUUCUAAGUUUUCGGUGUUUUUCUCGUAAGCACGUCCGACUUUUGCAACAAAGUCUUUAACCGUCUCACACAGGACUCUGAAAAACACGCUUUUAGAUAAACCACCAGCUAGAAUACGCAUGAACAGAAAUGCUCGUGUACAGUACGUACUUGGCGGAUGAAAUGACCACAGAGUGCUGAUCGGACGUCAGGAUUUUGGAGAGAUGAGCAGCGACUGAGUCCUCAUAGGUCAGAAUGUGCUGCACCUGAAACACAGAACAGCCAAUCAGAGCAGAGGAAACACAGAACAACCAAUCAGAGCAGAGGAAACACAGAACAACCAAUCAGAGCAGAGGAAACACAGAACAGCAGUGGUUACUUUAAGAGAAAAUAUUUUGAUGUACUAUCUGACAAUGAUUAUUUAAUUGUAAAUAAAUAAAUGGUGGAAAAAAAGUUCUAAAUUACAACUGUUUAUGGUGCAAGAAACCUUCACUAACAUUAAAACUGGGGGGAAAAAUCUUAAUGAAAAGCUCCAGAUUUGCUGUGCUUGUUUGUAGGGCAGUAAUUUGCACCAAAUGUUGUGAUUACAUCAACAUGACCAUAACAAUAAUUAUUAAUAUUUUUUAUCAUGAUGAUUAUUAUUACUACCACUAAAUAAAAUAUAUAACUAAUCAAAACAUUUAUAUUGUAAUAAUUCCAUGUAAAACAAAAAAAUACAAUAAUUUUCAAGAAGAACUGUAAAAUUAC